rnacentral:rRNA from 1 species
AUUGAACGCUGGCGGCAUGCCUUACACAUGCAAGUCGAACGGUAACAGGUCUUCUGCUGCUGACGAGUGGCGAACGGGUGCGUAAUACAUCGGAACGUGCCCAGACGUGGGGGAUAACGAGGCGAAAGCUUUGCUAAUACCGCAUACGAUCUAAGGAUGAAAGCAGGGGACCGCAAGGCCUUGCGCGCUUGGAGCGGCCGAUGGCAGAUUAGGUAGUUGGUGGGAUAAAAGCUUACCAAGCCGACGAUCUGUAGCUGGUCUGAGAGGACGACCAGCCACACUGGGACUGAGACACGGCCCAGACUCCUACGGGAGGCAGCAGUGGGGAAUUUUGGACAAUGGGCGAAAGCCUGAUCCAGCAAUGCCGCGUGCAGGAUGAAGGCCUUCGGGUUGUAAACUGCUUUUGUACGGAACGAAAAGGCUUUGGCUAAUACCUGGGGCACAUGACGGUACCGUAAGAAUAAGCACCGGCUAACUACGUG